UUUCGAUUAACGGCGUGCUGGAUUUCCAAUCCAGAGGUCGUGAGUUCAAUUCUCGUACCGGGAU
rfam:Culex pipiens quinquefasciatus supercont3.2 genomic scaffold, whole genome shotgun sequence.